rnacentral:rRNA from 1 species
UACGUAGGGGGCUAGCGUUGUCCGGAUUUAUUGGGCGUAAAGGGCGCGUAGGCGGCCGAGUAAGUCCGACGUGAAAUCUGGAGGCUCAACCUCCAGCGGUCGUUGGAAACUACUCGGCUAGAGUCCGGAAGAGGAGAGUGGAAUUCCUGGUGUAGCGGUGAAAUGCGCAGAUAUCAGGAAGAACACCGAUGGCGAAAGCAGCUCUCUGGGACGGUACUGACGCUGAGGCGCGAAAGCGUGGGGAGCAAACAGG